AAGCUGACGGCUAUACGUUCUCUUUAGCGUUGAAUAACGUAAACAACACGUUAGUACACACAAUUCGGUUCCUACUUUCGUGAAAAGAAUACUGAGAAAACAGUUUGCAUCCCAUAUGAUGAUAAAACUGACGAAUCAUGAAGCCUUCUAUCAUGGAAAGUGUGACGAAGCAAGGGGCAGAUAGUGAGACUGCUGUCGAGUAAGAAAAUAAAGACAGAAGUAGAACAACUGUUAAAUAUAUUAACAGUGUUAUUGGGACAUUCCAACACGAUAUUCAACUCUUCUUUCUUUUGCAUAUGGUUAUUGCAAUGGUCUUACUCGCUUGAGGAAAAUCUUCUAAUAAAAGAAAAAUAACUUUAAAGUAUAAAUUUAAAAAUAUCAGAUGAAACCAUUAACAUAUGUGCACCAUCUAAGUUGAGGACAAAUAUUUUUUUAAAAACAUUGCCUGUACAAACAUUGAACUCAAAACCUUGUUACCUAAAUCAUUAUUUGAAGAAAGUUGCCUGUGCGUGUCUGCUUAUAAUUUACGAAAAUCCUGGACCGAUUGUCACCAAACCUAGCAUAUGCCCUUAGGACCCCUGAUGAUUAAAAAAGUGGAGUCGAUGUUCCAAUCUGGCCUCUUAUGUCACCCCCUGAUAAGUGAGCUAGUAUUUGUUGAAUUAAGAUUUAGAAUUAAAACUAAUUGAUUAGACCUAUAAAAACCGCCACCACCAGUGAUAAUUGGUUAGCAGUCUUGCAUUAAAUACUAUAAAUCAAAUAAAGUGAAUAAUUAACAAGCUGCAAA